UUUCUUUAACGAAGAUUUUACUCUGAAAUCAUGAUUGAAAUUUAAUAAUGAAAUUGUUUUGCAUUAGAAUAGAGAUAACUGUAUUGUAUUUGAAGCUUUGCGGACGUCCAUCGGUAGUUUUACUGUCGCAAAUACCCGUUUACCUGUCUCCGCUCAAAUACAAUACAGUUAUCUCUUAAUUGAUGACUAGAUAGUGAUAAAGUAGUUCGACUUCUUAGACCACUCGGCCACCGAGGAUCCAAUAUAUUUAGAAAAAAACUUAUUUCAUAAACUUGAAAUUUAUUCAAAAAGAUAUCAUGGUUAUCAUGAUAAAAACUCGUACAUUUUUUUUUUAGACUUUAUGAGUAUAUUAAUGGAAAUAUAGAAACACUCCUAUAUAGUCACUGUCUGAUGAACUAUGUCGCAGUAUCAAGAGAAAUUAAGAUGCGAAAUGAUAAUCAAAGUCGCACGUGUCAAGAGGCUAAACAAUGGUCCUCAAGGGCAUAAAAAUAAAACAAGGAGGAGCCACGUGAAUCAUGUUGAAAUAUGACUAAAGUCUGGUGUUCCAUACAGAAAGGCAGUUCCUACUCUAUUAGUUGCACCUUUCGUCAAACCUCGACAGAUUCCGCUUCUAAAUCCAAAC
rnacentral:lncRNA from 1 species